rnacentral:rRNA from 1 species
CGGGUUGUAAAGCUCUUUUGUCAGGGAAGAAACGGUGAUCUCUAAUAUAGAUUGCUAAUGACGGUACCUGAAGAAUAAGCACCGGCUAACUACGUGCCAGCAGCCGCGGUAAUACGUAGGGUGCAAGCGUUAAUCGGAAUUACUGGGCGUAAAGCGUGCGCAGGCGGUUUUGUAAGUCUGAUGUGAAAUCCCCGGGCUCAACCUGGGAACUGCAUUGGAGACUGCAAGGCUAGAGUGUGUCAGAGGGGGGUAGAAUUCCACGUGUAGCAGUGAAAUGCGUAGAGAUGUGGAGGAAUACCGAUGGCGAAGGCAGCCCCCUGGGAUAACACUGACGCUCAUGCACGAAAGCGUGGGGAGCAAACAGGAUUAGAUACCCUGGUAGUCCACGCCCUAAACGAUGUCUACUAGUUGUCGGGACUUAAUUGUCUUGGUAACGCAGCUAACGCGUGAAGUAGACCGCCUGGGGAGUACGGUCGCAAGAUUAAAACUCAAAGGAAUUGACGGGGACCCGCACAAGCGGUGGAUGAUGUGGAUUAAUUCGAUGCAACGCGAAAAACCUUACCUACCCUUGACAUGGCAGGAAUCCUGAAGAGAUUUAGGAGUGCUCGCAAGAGAACCUGCACACAGGUGCUGCAUGGCUGUCGUCAGCUC